UGUCUAUAUCACCAGCCACGUUGGUGGGUUGAAUGUCUAUAUCACCAGCCACGUUGGUGGGUUGAAUGUCUAUAUCACCAGCCACGUUGGUGGGUUGAAUGUCUAUAUCACCAGCCACGUUGGUGGGUUGAAUGUCUAUAUCACCAGCCACGUUGGUGGGUUGAAUGUCUAUAUCACCAGCCAUGUUGGUGGGUUGAAUGUCUAUAUCACCAGCCAUGUUGGUGGGUUGAAUGUCUAUAUCACCAGCCACGUUGGUGGGUUGAAUGUCUAUAUCACCAGCCACGUUGGUGGGUUGAAUGUCUAUAUCACCAGCCACGUUGGUGGGUUGAAUGUCUAUAUCACCAGCCACGUUGGUGGGUUGAAUGUCUAUAUCACCAGCCAUGUUGGUGGGUUGAAUGUCUAUAUCACCAGCCACGUUGGUGGGUUGAAUGUCUAUAUCACCAGCCACGUUGGUGGGUUGAAUGUCUAUAUCACCAGCCAUGUUGGUGGGUUGAAUGUCUAUAUCACCAGCCACGUUGGUGGGUUGAAUGUCUAUAUCACCAGCCACGUUGGUGGGUUGAAUGUCUAUAUCACCAGGCCACGUUGGUGGGUUGAAUGUCUAUAUCACCAGCCAUGUUGGUGGGUUGAAUGUCUAUAUCACCAGCCACGUUGGUGGGUUGAAUGUCUAUAUCACCAGCCACGUUGGUGGGUUGAAUGUCUAUAUCACCAGCCACGUUGGUGGGUUGAAUGUCUAUAUCACCAGCCACGUUGGUGGGUUGAAUGUCUAUAUCACCAGCCAUGUUGGUGGGUUGAAUGUCUAUAUCACCAGCCACGUUGGUGGGUUGAAUGUCUAUAUCACCAGCCAUGUUGGUGGGUUGAAUGUCUAUAUCACCAGCCACGUUGGUGGGUUGAAUGUCUAUAUCACCAGCCACGUUGGUGGGUUGAAUGUCUAUAUCACCAGCCAUGUUGGUGGGUUGAAUGUCUAUAUCACCAGCCAUGUUGGUGGGUUGAAUGUCUAUAUCACCAGCCACGUUGGUGGGUUGAAUGUCUAUAUCACCAGCCACGUUGGUGGGUUGAAUGUCUAUAUCACCAGCCACGUUGGUGGGUUGAAUGUCUAUAUCACCAGCCACGUUGGUGGGUUGAAUGUCUAUAUCACCAGCCACGUUGGUGGGUUGAAUGUCUAUAUCACCAGCCACGUUGGCAGGGUUGAAUGUCUAUAUCACCAGCCACGUUGGUGGGUUGAAUGUCUAUAUCACCAGCCACGUUGGUGGGUUGAAUGUCUAUAUCACCAGCCACGUUGGUGGGUUGAAUGUCUAUAUCACCAGCCACGUUGGCAGGGUUGAAUGUCUAUAUCACCAGCCACGUUGGUGGGUUGAAUGUCUAUAUCACCAGCCACGUUGGUGGGUUGAAUGUCUAUAUCACCAGCCACGUUGGUGGGUUGAAUGUCUAUAUCACCAGCCACGUUGGUGGGGUGGUCACACAGAGCAUUUGGGUACCAUUUUUUUCACCCAAAACCCACAUGUAGAAGAAGUUAAUUGACCACACCUACUAAUUGACUACGACUCCUAAUUGACCACACCUACUAAUUGACUACGACUCCUAAUUGACCACACCUACUAAUUGACUACGACUCCUAAUUGACCACACCUACUAAUUGACUACGACUCCUAAUUGGCCACACCUACGAAACGGCCACACCUGAUCCUAAUGAUUGUGUAUCUCUGAGCAGAGUGUUUCUGAGCAGGGUGGGAGGAACGAGGUAGAUCUCUACAUACUGUGUGGUGUUCACACCUGAUCCUAAUGAUUGUGUGUCUCUGAGCAGUGUGGGAGGAACGAGGUAGAUCACACACACAC